rnacentral:rRNA from 1 species
CCUACGGGAGGCAGCAGUGGGGAAUAUUGCACAAUGGGCGGAAGCCUGAUGCAGCGACGCCGCGUGAGGGAUGACGGCCUUCGGGUUGUAAACCUCUUUCAGCAGGGACGAAGCGGAAGUGACGGUACCUGCAGAAGAAGCGCCGGCCAACUACGUGCCAGCAGCCGCGGUAAGACGUAGGGCGCGAGCGUUGUCCGGAUUUAUUGGGCGUAAAGAGCUCGUAGGCGGCUUGUCGCGUCGACUGUGAAAACCCGCGGCUCAACUGCGGGCCUGCAGCCGAUACGGGCAGGCUAGAGUUCGGUAGGGGAGACUGGAAUUCCUGGUGUAGCGGUGAAAUGCGCAGAUAUCAGGAGGAACACCAGUAGCGAAGGCGGCUCGCUGGGCCAUUCCUGACGCUGAGACGCGAAAGCAUGGGGAGCGAACAGGAUUAGAUACCCUGGUAGUCCAUGCCGUAAACGAUGAACACUAGGUGUGGGGGGAGUCGAAUCCCCCUGUGCCGAAGCCAACGCGUUAAGUGUUCCGCCUGGGGAGUACGGCCGCAAGGCUAAAACUCAAAAGAAUUGACGGGGGCCCGCACAAGCAGCGGAGCAUGUUCUUUAAUUCGAUGCAACGCGAAGAACCUUACCUGGGCUUGACAUGGUGCUGCAAGCGCACGGAAACGUGUGACCUUCGAGGGUGCACCACAGAUGCUGCAUGGCUGUCGUCAGCUCGUGUCGUGAGAUGUUGGGUUAAGUCCCGCAACGAGCGCAACCCCCGUGGCGUGUUGCCAGCAUUAAGUUGGGGACUCACGCCAGACUGCCGGUGACAAACCGGAGGAAGGUGGGGAUGACGUCAAGUCGUCAUGGCUCUUACGCUCAGGCUAGAAACGUGCUACAAUGGCGCAUACAAAGGGCAGCAAGACCGCAAGGUGGAGCGAAUCUCAUCAAAUGCGUCUAAGUUCGGAUCGGGGUCUGCAACUCGACCCCGUGAAGGCGGAGUUGCUAGUAAUCGCGGAUCAGCAUG